rnacentral:tRNA from 1 species
GCCCGGCUGGCUCAGCCGGUAGAGCAUGCGACUCCUGAUAUCAGGGUCGUGAGUUCAAACCCCACACUGGGCC